AUCCUUAUGUGAUUUAUUAGUAUGAUGGUAUGACAGGGUUUUUACACCACUGUGUGAAAUGUGCUCGCCUCAAACCUUAUUGCAAAGCCAGCGCUUCAUAUAUGUACA